rnacentral:rRNA from 1 species
AUUGAACGCUGGCGGCAUGCUUUACACAUGCAAGUCGAACGGUAGAGGGGGCAACCCCUUGAGAGUGGCGAACGGGUGAGUAAUGCAUCGGAACGUGCCCAGUCGUGGGGGAUAACGCAGCGAAAGCUGUGCUAAUACCGCAUACGUCCUACGGGAGAAAGUGGGGGCUCUUCGGGCCUCACGCUAUCGGAUGAGCCUAGGUCGGAUUAGCUAGUUGGUGGGGUAAAGGCUCACCAAGGCGACGAUCCGUAACUGGUCUGAGAGGAUGAUCAGUCACACUGGAACUGAGACACGGUCCAGACUCCUACGGGAGGCAGCAGUGGGGAAUAUUGGACAAUGGGCGAAAGCCUGAUCCAGCCAUGCCGCGUGUGUGAAGAAGGUCUUCGGAUUGUAAAGCACUUUAAGUCGGGAGGAAGGGCUGUAGGUUAAUACCUUGCAGCCUUGACGUUACCGACAGAAUAAGCACCGGCUAACUUCGUGCCAGCCGCCGCAGUAA